rnacentral:rRNA from 1 species
GAACAGUGGGUUACCUGCCUCGAUGACCGGGACAACCCGAGGAAACUCGGGCUAAUACCGGAUGUGCCCGCAAGGGGAAAGGAAGCUUCGGCCUCCGCAUCGAGAUGGGCCCGCGGCCCAUUAGCUUGUUGGUGAGGUAACGGCUCACCAAGGCUUUGAUGGGUAGCUGGUCUGAGAGGACGAUCAGCCACACUGGGACUGAGACACGGCCCAG